GACGAACGCUGGCGGCGUGCUUAACACACGCAAGUCGAACGAGAAAGCCCCUUCGGGGGUGAGUACAGUGGCGAACGGGUGAGUAACGACGUGGGCAACCUGCCCUAGGGAGCGGGACAACCCGAGGAAACUCGGGCUAAUACCGCAUGAUUCGCAGAGUCAUAAGGCUCUGCGGGAAAUGGUAGCUUCGGCCGUCCGCCCUAGGAUGGGCCCGCGGCGCAUUAGCUUGUUGGUGAGGUAACGGCCCACCAAGGCGACGAUGCGUAGCUGGUCUGAGAGGACGAUCAGCCACACUGGGACUGAGACACGGCCCAGACUCCUACGGGAGGCAGCAGUGGGGAAUCUUGCGCAA
rnacentral:rRNA from 1 species